GAGAGGUUGUGGCAAGGGUCCAUGCCUGAAUGUGUAGAACAAGAACAGCUGGAGGCUGUGGCUUUCUCCAGGAAGAGGUUUCUAAAUCUGCCUCUUAGAAGAUAUCAGAAAGUUAAAGUUUCUCUUGCUGCCAUCAUGUAAGAAGGACCUUUUACCUCCCACCAUGAUUCUAAGGCCUCCCCAGCCACGUGGAACUGCUUUCAUUUGGUCUCUUUUCGAAUCAGAAGACCCAGAAAACUUGGAUCCACUUCUGGCUCUCAUCCCUCUGGGCAGUGUGAUUUGGAGUAAAGCAGCUACGGCUUAGAAAGGCUGAGGAACUUGCCUGAGGCUAUCCAGCUACUGAGAGAUAAACUGGGGUGUGAAUUUAGAGAGCUUGACUCCUGAGGCUCCACCUGUGCCUAUAAUUCCAGCAUGACACCUGGUAAUGGGCACUCAGUAGAUGCUUGUUGAUCUAAACUCAGUGUGUGUGUGUGUGUGUCUGUGUGUGUGUGUGUGUGUGUGUGUGUGUCUUCCUCUCACAUCCAAAGCUACUAGCACUGAGGAAGUUGGGCA
rnacentral:lncRNA from 1 species